UCCGAGAUUCGGAAGUCUAGUCAGACCCCCAGUCCAGUCAACGACAAGGCAGGUUAGAGAUGAUGGGAGGAUACCGUCUUGAUUCGACAGUAGGCUACCUUCGCAGCUGCACUUGAUCGUCUUCAGUGUCUUUAACUUCGACAGCUGCCAUAUAUCUCCAGGAAUCUCAGGACCCUCAUCACAGUUCUCAAAGCAAAGCUCUUCCAGGUCUUUAAGCUCCAGAAGAUUUCGGAUCCUAGGAGAUGAGAUGGUUAUGCGUUUUAAGCUUGUGGGUAGCUCUGGUACUUCUUCAGCUCCCCAUGCCAAUUUCCCCGUCUUAAUCUCUUCGAGUUUUUGAAGCUUUCGCAUGUCGCCUGUUAAUGCUAUUUUAGUAUCCUGAAGCAUGACCACUUUCAGAUUCCUGAAAGCACUGAUAUUGAGUUUCCCCAUCAUGCGUCGACAUAGAGUGAGAUCAAUCGACUCUAGGCUUCUACAGUGGGAAAGGUCAGGAACGCUUGUUAAGUUAAAGCAACCAUGUAGAUUUAUAACCUUCAGCUUGCUUGCCGACUGCAUCAAGAAAACACAUAUAUCAGGUUUGAAACUGCAUUUCGAUGAGGACAAUUGGCUUGUAGUAUAUAUCUAGCAAUUAACAUAUACCUUAACACUCUUCCAUCCUCGCCAACCAUCAACUACAUCCCAACCCCGUAACUCGAGAAUUACAACAUUCUUCAAGUUGAGAUUAAACGGGAUAGACAUGCUAGAGAGCUUAAUCCAACACAUAGACGGAAGUAUUCCACUGAAGAACCCAUUCAACGACAUUUUGGGAUGCUUUAUGUCAAGGUACCUCAAGUUCGACAACCCUUCAAAACAUUUGUUUGUGAGGAAAACAGGAUCGCUGCUUUCCGCAUCAACCCUAAGCAUUCGCACUCGAUCAGUUCCCUGUGAAGAGAAAUAACUAAGUAUUAUAAUGUACAACCUAUGAAAUAUCCAAAGGAAACCAGAAAACACAGUAAGAACAUACCUUUUUAUUUUUCAACAUGCGAAUAGCAUCUUCUUUUGUCCAGAUCCUGCUGCGCUUGUAUGGAUUUUCAACAUCUUCCUCUAUAACAAUAGCUCUACCGAGGUCUCUAAGAUGAUCAUGCAUCCAUAACCGAUUUGUCCUGUCGAGUUUUAUCAAGGACCUAAGAAUAAGAGUCCUGAUUCCACUUUCUGGAUAAAACUCGCAAUCAUUCCACAUAUGCAUCGGCAAUUCUUUAUCCUCUCCAAUGAAAAAGCAGGCUAUGUCGAGAAAGAUUUGUCUUUGAUCAUAGGUCAACUCAUUGUAGCUAAUCUUCAAUCUUUCCUGCACCUUAUCAAUAGUACCAGGCACUUUUUUUAGUUGCAUCAACUUUUCUUCCCAAAACUGUCUAUUCCUACCAAACAUGAGCGACCCUAUAACCUUAAGAGCCAAAGGCAGAUUUGCUGAAACUUUCACAAAUUCAUCACAUAGGGCUGCAUAAUCUUCUGGUGGGGAAUCCUUCCAGAAAGCAUGUCUGCUAAAAAGUUGAAGAGAAUGAUCAUGACUCAUUUCUUUUGGUUCGUACAACUUGUAUUCUGGGAGGACCUCUAUAACUCGUUUGUUUCUUGUUGUAAUGACAAAUCUACUCUCUGAGGAAAAAUUACCUAAUUUUCCCAAUAUUUGGCCAAACUCAAACUUAUCAUCUACAUCAUCAAGAACAACCAAGACUUUAUAUUUGCAGACCCUCUCUCUUAUCAUUCUGACCCCUUCACUAGCAUCUUUAACCUGAACAUCAUCCCUCAAAAUGCUAGAAAUGAGCUUAUUCUGUAAAGACACUAUGCCGUCAUUUUUCAACAAUAGUUCUUGUGUAUUCUCUAGGAAACAACACCGACUGAAGCUUGUGGAAAUCUCGUCAUAGACGGCCUUGGCUAUAGUAGUUUUACCAAUGCCACCAAUGCCUUGAAUCCCAACAAUUUUCCCAUCUCUAGAGUCUAAAUUCAACAAUCUCAUCACUUCUUGCACAUGAAAAUCAAUUCCUACCAACUCCUCAAUUACUAAGGUAUAGUUAAUCCUCAGGUGCAACUCAACCUCAGAAAAAAUUUCAUCUACGACAGCUCCGUGUCUGAAAGAAUAAGCAGAUAUCUUACAUCAGUAGAAAGAUAAGUAGAAUUAUUAAAGUCAUUAAUUAGCAUGUGCUAGAUUAGUGCAGAGUUAUUCUAGCUAGCACUUAAUAGCUAGAUUAUCUGCUAAUAGACCUUGGUCAGUAAGUAUAUAAUCAUACUUCUGUCAAAUACUACAGAGAAUCAUUAGAGGCAAUAUUACCAACAAAUCAAGAUAAGAUCGAUCAAUCCACACAGUCGAAUUAAAAUAAAAACAUUACCCGACUGAUUCGGAAACAUGCCAUCCUUUCAUUUCUCCAACUUCUUUGAGAGCUGACCUCCAUUCUUGUACGAUAAUGGGGUCAUGUUUCUUACAAUGCAGUUCAAAUGCCUCCUUAUAUGGACCCGCUUGACGCCGCACAUCUCUGGGGUCUACAAAGAAAACAGGCAAUAUGAUAUGUCCCUUCUCUUUCCUGCAACACUCAACCAUCUUAGCUAGUUCUUGGAGGCACCAUUUGCUAGAAGCAUAGCUCUCUGAUAAAAUAGGAAUGUAAAUCUUCGAUUCAGUGAUAGCCUGGACCAGGGAAUGUGCAAUGGUAUCCCCCUUCCGAAGCUCUUCCUCGUCCCUAAAGGUACGGAUCUUGGAAUGGACCAAAUAGCUGUAGAGAAAGUCCGCAAAGCUUUUGCGAACAUCAGGCCCUCUAAAGCUCAAGAAAACCUCGUACUCGACAUGUUGUUGUUCUGCCGAUGAAGCAGCAUUGGGAACUGUUGUUCCUUCGCCGAAGUGCACGAGCUUCUGCUCCAUAUCGUCUCUGAAAAAACCAAAUAAAUAAGCAUCAAGUAUUACUAUACAAACAGAUCUCUCGAGAGAUCGGAAAUCCAACAAAGAGAGAUUUAUAUGAAGACUUACCUUGCAAUUAAACAGGAAGAUCCGAUCAGCUUUACUGGUUUGACUGGUAGAGGAAUAGCAUAAGCAUAUAGGAUGCAUGAGGAUACACCUUUAAGCUGGUACUGGCUAUUUAAGAGCAAGAUAUAAGUGGGGGAGGAGUGUCAUUUGUUUUAUUGCCAAACAUUGACUUCGCAUGUACCCUCACAUGCUCUCUGUCUACGUUGACUUAGCUGGAAAUCACCAGCUAGUUGACAGCUAACUGUGGUAAUAUUAAACACCUCAAAAAUCUUCAGUAUUAAGUCAAAGGUAGGAGUGAAUAUCAGCCUAAAUGCCACAAGUCCAGAACACAAUGAAAGUGAUUACCUUGUGGGUUUGGAGUUUUCGAGAUUUAAUGGCAGCAGGCUGCUGCUAUCUUCUUCUUCCCCAACAUCCCAAAUGUAGGCUGAUGUGUGCCGGCGGUUGCUGCUUCAAUGAUUUUUCUGUAAAUCCUGGUCACAUUAGGAAAAGCAAGUUCAAGAUAAAUCCACAAUCUGGAUCUUUCCAUUACAAGAACAAUCUAAAAAAUUAUCUCCAACCCCUAACUAAACUUAUUAAUUAUGAGAUGGUGGAAUUUCAAAUAAGAAAAAUAGACUACCACCUAUGUAGUAGUAUCUGUAUUGGCCUUAGUUGUAUCAUGUAUGGGGAUUGACAUAAAACAAGAUAAGAGACGGAGAAAAUAAAGGGGACUGUGAGUAUUAAAAGAAAAGAAGAGUAAGGGUGAGAGCUAAGGGUUUGUUUGUUAGGUUGAAGUGUUUUUUCUUAUCUGGAGUGAAUUCCAAAAUGUUUUCUAUUCGCUCAUAUAUUCCGUCUAGUGUCCACAACAAAACAGCAACUUCCUAAAAACGAGAAAUGAAAGGUUCUGAACGGGGGCUGGAAUGGAUCUCUGGCAUCGGGAUGAUGGGAACAAACUCAGAAGCUUAACAGGGAGCCCAGCAAUAUCUGGAUGAUGGGUAUUUGGAACUAUUAGAUUUGAAAAAGAUUGCAUGUACCAGGGCGAGUUCCGUAAUGGAGAAGAGAAGCAAUACUUGUUGGGGGAUCCCAUAAGAUAAGCUGAAUGUUUGAUCAGACAGUGAAGUUUACACUCAAUUCAAAUGGGGAUCCCAUAAGAUAAGCUCUAUAUUGUGCCAAAUGAGAAGCCUCCAUGGGAAUCUGAAGUAAAACUUCUGCGAAAAUGAUCAGAAAAAUAGUGACUUCUUUGAUCAAUCAAGUUAUGGCAAACUCAGUGAAUACCUUCUAAAAGUUUGUCGAAGUUUCUACCUUAGGAAGGAUUGGAUUGAUCAAGAGGGAUCCAGCUACUUCAGUUUGCUUCAACACAUUCGAACCAAGCUAGUAACGCAGUUAAUGAACAUGUCGAAUGACUAACGCAAGUGACGAGCAAAAACUUGGCAGAAGAACUAAGCCAUAAUCAUGUACACCAAUCUUCAAGACAGACUGAAGAUGACCAAAAAGAGAGGGAAGUUCCAAUAACCCAAUCGCUAUGGCACACAUUCGAGGAAAGUACCAAUAACCCAUUACGAAACUCAUCCAAACAGUACCAACGACACAGAAAUCCGAAUCAUCAACAACGAUCGAAGCAUUCGCAUCGUUAUGGUCACCGAAUCAUCAACAGUGAAUCAGUCGUAGUUCCGUCAAAUUACUCAGAUUUGCAAGAUUUGGCAGCCUAGUCAAACCCUCGCUCCACUCGACGACAAGGCAGGUUAGAGAUGAUGGGAGGAAACCGUCCGGAUUUAGCAAUAGGCUACCUUCGAAAAUGCAAUCGACCAUCUUCGACUUAGCCAGCUGCCAUACAUCCCCAGGUCUUUAAGCUGAUAUUUCGUCUCUGCAAAAACCAUAGAAAAAGUCAAACGAAUGCAAAACCAAAUCACAAUUGUCUGGAAACUCAAGACAACGGCC
rnacentral:lncRNA from 1 species